CCCUUAGAUGUCCUGGGCCGCACGCGCGCUACACUGACGCACGCAACAGGUGCCUGCUCCGAGAGGACUGGGUAAUCAUUUGAGUGUGCGUCGUGAUGGGGAUAGAAUAUUGUAAUUAUUACUCUUCAACGAGGAAUUCCUAGUAAGCGCAAGUCAGCAGCUUGCGCUGAUUACGUCCCUGCCCUUUGUACACACCGCCCGUCGCUCCUACCGAUGGGUGAUCCGGUGAAUGAUUCGGACUUCAGCGGCUCCUCUGGGGUGCGCCGGAGAAAGUUUUGUGAACCUUAUCACUUGGAGGAAGGAGAAGUCGUAACA
rnacentral:rRNA from 1 species